AUAAACUGAUACUUUGAAUGGAGUUUAUAAUACAGCAUGGCCUACGUGUAACGCAUCAUAUACCAUGUAGACAGCACCAUGAAAGUGUGUGCCGUAUAAUACAGAGUAUGUGUAAAGGAGCAUAGCCUGUGCACGUACUGCAGAGUUACUUUGAACUGAAACGUGGCAUGGCCGUUAUGUGUAGAACAGCAUUUCUUGUGUAUAUGUAGUGGGUUCCCACGGAGACUGGAGACGUAGCUUAGAGGCAACACGGUUUAUUUAAAUCUUAUAACAGAAGCCCCUUUUACUCCCACUACUUGGGGAGGUAUGGCCUCCGGGCUAACGUGCCCUAUCACUGGGGCUACGGGCUCUGAGUCCUCCGACUAAGGGUGGCCUAGGGGAGGCUAUGCUGACCCGACCCAGCCAAGGUGCGGGUCUCAACCACUGGUCCGUGCUCGGCCCCGCCCCUUAAAAGGACGUCGGGUCCCAGGGUCCCAGGGUCCUAGCCUAGCCGGUCUUCAGUCUUCGUCUUCAGAGCACUGCCUCGGGCCGUCCUGGGGUCCGUCUUUUAUACCCACCUCGGGGACUCUCCACCCCCGGUACCGCCCCCUUUCUGGAACCUUCCAGGUGGCUUUGGAAUAACCCCCCAACCCCUCACCUGUGGUCGGGGGGGGGGAACUCGGCCUCUCAACGGUCCCGGUUCUCUCUCUAACUCACGGUGGCACCCCCUGCAGACUCGUGCCCGCAACUACAGGUGUGAUGGGCUGCUGCUGCUGCACCUGUUGACGUUGAUGUCGGGGCAGGCAGAGUCCUCGCUCCGGGUCCCCGUGGCGUUGCUCCGGGGGAACGUGCAGAAGAAGGCGUUGGCCAGGAGGCAGGCGGCCUGCUCCUGAGACAUCGUCAGCAUCAAGCCGGUGUCCCGGCGGAGCAGCGGCAGGGGCUGGGGACACGUGCGGUGCACAGGGCGCAGCGACGUCACACGCGGCAACGGGUGGCACGGGGUUGCAGAGGAGCAACGGCGCAAUGGUAACACCGAUGCAGAGCACUGAGCCUGCAGCACUGGGAUGCUGGGGUCUGGAUCAAGGAGUUAUGAAAUUCACGUAAAACAGAUGAUUGUUGUACACGUGAGGUUAAUGCUGCAGCCCUGCAAUUACUUGCUCAUGCAACUGCUGGUGAAAGAACCUCCACUAGAGGGAGGUCUAGAGUGCCGAUCCGGUGGGUAUGUUUUGGCCAACUUUUCCACACUGACCAUUCGUCUUGAAAGAGGUGGGAGUACUCGCCAUUUAUCCCACUGCACGCGACCCACCGAUGGACUGUGGGUGGACAAAACAGGGAAUUGUAAGAAUCCUGGUCAAUGUUUUCAAGGCCAGGCUGGGAGAUCGAACCGCGACAUUUGAAGUCAAUCGUGACAACCAUCCCACAGUCAUGGCAGCAGCCCUUUUGCAGAAAUAAAAUAAAAUAUUGGAGAGGGCUUCACACAAGAAACAAGAAGAUUUAGUGGUUUGGAUGUGGCUCUCCAAUGAGUACAGAUAGGGUACCACAAGUAGCGGUGCAUACUCGGGCACAAAGAAAUAGAAGCAGAGACAAAGAAUGAGAUAGAUCGAUGCAAUAAAGAAUUGGCAGUGGUGCACCAAGCACGACCCCUUGCUGAGCGCUGCAGCAGCAGCCCCCCCCCCCACCCCCGGACCCCUCCCCCACCCUCCACUUCUCACCCUGACGCCACACAACCCGUGGGUAGGCGAUGCCCUCUGGUGGACAAGGCGCGGUACAGGCGGCAGCACGAGACGCCAGCAGCGUUGCGCUGCCAGGGUUACUCACCCGAACACCUCCGUACACUUACACACACCUACACACACCUCUAUACACCUCUAUACACUCACACACACCUACACACUUACAAAGACAAAGAUCCCCCGUAUAGCCUUAACAGACUGUAGAGGCAAGUGUUGUUAGCGAGCACCUAUGAAGGCCGGAACGGUACACGAGGGGGUGGGUGGCCAGCACCACGCCCGACCGCCUUUGUCUCCCCAGUGGCGAUGUUUACACACCGCACCAGGUACUCAUUUAAGGCUGAGUCGACCUAGGGGAGGCCCAGGACCGGUUCAGAUAAUCGUCACUGGUGUUAGCCGUGAGUGGGAAUCGAACCCGGGUCGCCAGGUUCAUAGCGCAGCGCGCUAACUGCUACACUACCGCUCCCCACACACCUACACACACACACCUCUACACACUUACACACCUACACACACACACACCUAUACAACAACAACCGCCAUUCGCCACUAAGUGGCGGUGACGUCACCACGACGCUUGUGCCAGGCCAAGUGCACCUUGAGGCCACGUGAAGUGUCGAACGCCCGCUGGCAGGAGGUCACGGGGCAGACCCAGCAGGUGCCACGGGUCGACUGACCGAGAUGACCGAGAUGACUGGCUGAUGCACCACCUGUGGCCCCCUACUGUACCAACUUGCUGUGCUUUAGCCACCCGGCGCUCCGCUCGUUGUUGUGAGCGUCGCUCCUCCACCCUCCGUUGUUGUUGGAGGGCGACUGCCUCCAACUGCCCAGUAGCGUCCUUCACGAGCCUCCUCCACUGAGGCCGAUCUUGAUACCGCUGGUACCAGUCAUCGGCAAGUCCACUCAGCUCCACGUCCUCCUGUACCACAUCACUCCAUCUCUUCUCUAGCCCGCGCCGCGCCCGUUUAGCCCCCUUGAUUUUAGGCAUGCAGUAGCUGGGCAUGCGUGCUACAUGACCCAGCCAACGCAGCCUUGCCUGCCGGAGGAACUCACCGAUGGGACUUUGCCCAGAUCUUUCAAGGAUUUGUGAGCUCCUCACACAAUCCAGCCUGGUUAAACCCAGGAUGGAUCGUAGGCAGGCCAGCCUAAAUGUUUCCAACCGACGAAGUUGCUCCAUUAGGGGGGUCCACGUUUCGCAAGCGUAGAGAAGGGAGGGAAUGACCGUGGCCGAGAAGACCUGAAGCUUCGUGCGGAGGUAGCUUCCACACAGCGUUACGCAACCGAUGAAAAGAUAAUGCCGCUCGACUGAUUCGGAGUGAGACCUCUGCUGAUAAACUGGAGCCGGUCAUAAGCACACUGCCCAGGUAUGGGAAACUCUCCACUCUCUCCACAACUGCCCCAUCACCGAUUGGGAGUUGUGGGGGUGGAGUGUCUGAUGGUACAAAAUACCCAGGCAGGUGCUUAGUUUUGGUGGGGCUGAUGGUAAGACCCCACCUCUUAGUGGCACGCUCCAGUUUCAGCAGCAGCGUCUCCAACUCCUCUUCUGAAUGAGCAGCUAUUACCAAAUCAUCGGCAUACAUAACGUGGUCGAUCAGCCUCCCAUUAUAUCUGUACCAAAUGGAAAUUCCCCCGGUACAGAUAUUGAAGGCUUCACGAACUACGCAGUCGAAAUAGAUGUUAAAUAAUGUGGGAGCCUGAGGACAUCCCUGUCGCACCACAAGGUGUACAGGGGAAGGCUCUGAUUCCCGGCCACGUAGUUUUACCCGGGCCCGCUCACCAUCAUGAAGGUCCUUAAUGAUCGUGAGCAGAGGGUCAGGGACUCCGAAAGCACGAAGAACAACCCAGAGCCCAGGCCUACUGAUGGUAUCAUAGGCCUUGACCAGGUCAAUAAAGCAGAGAUGAAGGUCUUGUUGGAAUUCCUACACCUCUGCUGUAGCAGACGGACAGAAAAUAUGGCAUCUGUACAGGACCGCCCUUUCCUGAAACCGCAUUGGGGUUCUGCAAGCCUCUCCUCAGCGUGCCUAGCAAGGCGAUGUUGAAUAAUCCUUGCCAGGACCUUUCCCGGCACACUUAGGAGUGAGAUGCCUCUGUAGUUGUUACAGUCUGUGCGGUUCCCCUUCUUAAAGAGGGGGACCACCAGGGCAUCCUUCCAAUCCUGCGGUACCCGUCCAGCGGUCCAGACUGUUGUUAUGAUGUCAUAUAGGGCAGUCUGUGCACAAGCGCCACCCUCCCUCAGCAUUUCGCUUGGGAGAUCAUCUCUGCCCAGUGCCUUUCCUGGUCUCAGACUCCGGAUCGCCUUCAGUACUUCCUCAACAGAUGGCACCUCAGCCAGCCACUCACAGGGGGUGACCUCCUCCAAUAUUUGAGGCACCGCAGCCUCAGCAGGGUUAUCCCCACUUUGUGCCAUGAUGUUUUCCUGGCUGAGAGAUUUUCCCUCUCCCAGGACCUCACACACACCUAUAUACACUCACACACACCUACACACACACCUCUAGACACUUACACACACCUACACACACACCUCUAUACACACACCUCUAUACACUCACACACACCUACACACACCUCUAUACACUCACACACACUGACACACACCUCUAUACACUUGCACACACCUACACACACACACCUCUACACACCUACACACACCUAUACACACACCUCUAUAUACUUACACACACCUACACACACACCUCUAUACACUUACACGUACACACACCUCUGUACACCUAAACACCUACACACACACCUCUAUAUACCUAAACACCUACACACACACCUCUAUACACGUACACACACCUACACACACCUACACACACACCUCUAUACACUUACACACACCUACACACACCUCUAUACACUUACACACACACCUCUAUACACUUACACACACACCUCUCUACACCUAAACACCCACACACACACCUCUAUACCCUUACUCACACCUACACACACACCUCUAUACACGUACACACACCUACACACACACCUCUAUACCCUUACACCUACACACACACCUCUAUACACGUACACGCACCUACACACACACCUCUAUACACUUACACACCUCUAUACACCUAAACACCUACACACACCUCUAUACCCUUACUCACACCUACACGCAGGAGGAGGUGGUAGUGCGGGAACGAAAGGGCCUGGCUCGUGCGGCGAACGCGAUCCAUGCGCUCCUCCGCAGCAUGAUGCUGUUUUGUUGCGACCGGUCGACCGCACAGUUGGGGUGAUGGAGGUGGUGCGGUGCUUACCAUGACCGCUAUCACCACACGCACCACACCAUCUACCCAACCACCCCGUGAUACACACCACACACACCCCACUCACACCACACACACCACACACACCACUCACACCACACACACCACACACACCACUCACACCACACACACCAGACACACCGCACAUACCGCACACACUACACACACCACACACACCACACACACCACUCACACCACACACACCACACACACCACACGGUUCCCCGGAAAGACGGUGCCACUGGGACCGCAGCCGGGGAAGGAAACUGAGCAGCAGAUGCCAGGACUGGACUGGACAAUGACUGCUGCCAACGGACUAACUCUGUUCAGAGAUAGGAUCAAUCCAAUGUAUUAUGUAAUACUUAUCAUUGUUGUUUUUAUUAUUAACGUCAUGACAUGAACUUAUGAGGAAACAAUGUAACUUUG